AUGUCGUCGCCGACCGCCGCGCCGGCGCCGACUACGCCCCCGGCGCCGCCGGCUAACGCCACCGCGCCUCCCCCGGCCACCCCGUCGGCACCUCCCCCGGCGAUCCCCUCCCCCUCGCCGCCGGCCCCCGCCAACCCGCCCCCGGUCUCCGUCCCGCCGCCGGCAGCGCCCGCGGCCUCCCCUCCCGCGCCGUCCUCCACACCGGCCACCCCAUCGGCACCAUCUCCGUCACCCCCUGCCACCCCUUCCCCGCCCUCGGACACGCCCUCUUCGCCCUCGCCAGAAGGGAGGUCCCCGCCCUCGCCCGCUGGCGGGGGAAGAUCGCCUUCCACGCCAGGCCACAACAACCCGUCGCCCAAAUCGCCGCCUCAUUCCUCCGGUGGCGGUGGCGGUGGCGGUGGCUCCGGGGUGUCCACGUCGGUGGUCGUCGGCGUAGCCGUGGGUGGCUUCGUGCUGCUGCUGCUCGCUACCUUCGUGUGCCUCUGCUGCCUCCGGAAGAAGCGCCGCCGCCAGCCUCCACCCCCGCACUAUGGUUACCCGCCGCCUCCUCCUCCGCAGUACAAAGAGGAUCAUUAUGGAGCAACAUACCAGAAUUGGCAGAAUAAUGCUCCUCCUCCUCCACCUGAUCAUGUGGUUAAGAUGCACCCAUCACCUCCUCCAGCAUAUGCCAAUCGUCCUCCACAGGCACCACCGCCGCCUCCACCCCCUAUGAUAAACAACAGCGGUGGGUCAGGUUCUAAUUACUCAGGUGGUGAGAUCCUGCCUCCACCAUCCCCUGGGACCGCCCUUGGCUUCACGAACUCUAAGAGCACAUUCACUUAUGAUGAGCUGGUGAGGGCAACCGAUGGGUUCUCUGAUGCUAAUCUCCUCGGACAAGGUGGUUUUGGAUAUGUUCACAAAGGAGUGCUGCCUAAUGGCAAAGAGAUUGCUGUGAAGCAAUUGAAACUUGGGAGUGGCCAGGGAGAGCGUGAGUUCCAGGCGGAGGUUGAGAUUAUCAGCCGUGUUCAUCACAAGCAUCUUGUGUCUCUGGUUGGUUACUGCAUCUCUGGGGGGAAGAGGUUGCUUGUAUAUGAGUUUGUUACCAAUAACACAUUGGAAUUCCACUUACAUGGAAAAGGCCGUCCAACGUUGGAGUGGCCCAUAAGACUAAGGAUUGCCCUUGGUGCUGCUAAGGGUUUGGCAUACAUUCACGAAGAUUGCCACCCGAAGAUCAUACAUCGUGAUAUAAAGUCAUCAAACAUUCUUCUUGAUUUUAAAUUCGAAGCUAAGGUUGCGGAUUUUGGUCUGGCAAAGUUCACCUCUGAUAACAACACACAUGUGUCAACAAGAGUAAUGGGCACUUUUGGGUAUCUAGCACCAGAGUAUGCGUCUUCUGGAAAGCUAACUGAGAAAUCAGAUGUCUUUUCCUUUGGAGUGAUGCUUCUUGAGCUGAUAACUGGGCGCCGGCCUGUUGAUUCAACCCAAACAUAUAUGGAUGACAGCUUGGUUGAUUGGGCAAGACCUUUACUGAUGCGAGCACUUGAGGAUGGUAACUAUGAUGAGUUAGUGGAUGCUCGUCUGGGAAAGGAUUUCAAUCCUAAUGAGAUUGCCAGAAUGAUAGCAUGUGCUGCUGCAUGUGUACGCCAUUCAGCACGUCGUCGCCCUCGAAUGAGUCAGGUUGUUCGGGCCUUGGAAGGUGACGUCUCUUUGGAGGAUCUUAACGAAGGUGUUCGGCCUGGUCAUAGCCGCUUUUUCGGAUCAUACAGCAGUUCUGACUAUGAUUCUGGGCAGUACAACGAGGACAUGAAGAAGUUCAAGAAGAUGGCCUUUACGACGAAUGACUACACGAGCAGCCAAUACAGUGCGCCGACAAGCGAGUAUGGUCAGAUACCAUCUGCAUCAAGCAGUGAGGGCCAACAAACUCAAGAAAUCGAGACAGGGACAAUGAAGAAAGGUGGCCACAGUGGCUACAGUUCAGGAUACAGCGGGCCGUCGUGA
rnacentral:rRNA from 1 species